rnacentral:rRNA from 1 species
GCUUGCUUCUUGGGGUUGUAGGACACUCUAUACGGAGUUACAAAAGAAAGUUAUAAAUGAAGCGGUCUGGAAAGGCCCGCCAAAGACGGUAACAGCCCGGUAGUUGAAAUGGCUUUCCCUCCAGAGUGGAUCCUGAGUACGGCGGAACACGUGAAAUUCCGUCGGAAUCCGGGAGGACCAUCUCCCAAGGCUAAAUACUCCCUAGUGACCGAUAGUGAACCAGUACCGUGAGGGAAAGGUGAAAAGCACCCCGGAAGGGGAGUGAAACAGUUCCUGAAACCGUGUGCCUACAAGUAGUUAGAGCCCGUUAAUGGGUGAUAGCGUGCCUUUUGUAGAAUGAACCGGCGAGUUACGAUUUGUUGCAAGGUUAAGCGGAAAAAGCGGAGCCGUAGCGAAAGCGAGUCUGAAUAGGGCGCAUAAGUAACAGGUCGUAGACCCGAAACCAGGUGAUCUACCCAUGUCCAGGAUGAAGGUAAGGUAAUACUUACUGGAGGUCCGAACCCACGCACGUUGAAAAGUGCGGGGAUGAGGUGUGGGUAGCGGAGAAAUUCCAAUCGAACUUGGAGAUAGCUGGUUCUCUCCGAAAUAGCUUUAGGGCUAGCCUCGAGGUAAAGAGUCAUGGAGGUAGAGCACUGUUUGGACUAGGGGCCCUUCUCGGGUUACCGAAUUCAGAUAAACUCCGAAUGCCAUGUACUUAUACUCGGGAGUCAGACUGCGAGUGAUAAGAUCCGUAGUCGAAAGGGAAACAGCCCAGACCACCAGUUAAGGUCCCCAAAUAUAUGUUAAGUGGAAAAGGAUGUGGGGUUGCUUAGACAACCAGGAUGUUGGCUUAGAAGCAGCCACCAUUGAAAGAGUGCGUAAUAGCUCACUGGUCGAGUGACCCCGCGCCGAAAAUGUACCGGGGCUAAACAUAUUACCGAAACUGUGGAUGAACCUCUUUAGAGGUUCGUGGUAGGAGAGCGUUCUAAGGGCGGUGAAGUCAGACCGGAAGGACUGGUGGAGCGCUUAGAAGUGAGAAUGCCGGUAUGAGUAGCGAAAGAAGGGUGAGAAUCCCUUCCACCGAAUAUCUAAGGUUUCCUGAGGAAGGCUCGUCCGCUCAGGGUUAGUCGGGACCUAAGCCGAGGCCGAUAGGCGUAGGCGAUGGACAACAGGUAGAGAUUCCUGUACCAGU